rnacentral:rRNA from 1 species
UACAGAGGUCUCAAGCGUUGUUCGGAAUCACUGGGCUUAAAGGGCGCGUCGGCGGGUCUCCCAGUCUGUGGUGAAAUCCUCCAGCUUAACUGGAGAAGUGCCGUGGAUACUGGAGACCUCGAGGAGGAUAGGGGCAUCUGGAACGGUCGGUGGAGCGGUGAAAUGCGUUGAUAUCGACCGGAACUCCGGUGGCGAAGGCGAGGUGCUGGGUCCUUUCUGACGCUGAUGCGCGAAAGCCAGGGGAGCAAACGGG